CGGGACGGGGUGGAGUAAAUGUCUGGGAAACUGCCUGAUGGAGGGGGGUAACUACUGGAAACGGUAGCUAAUACCGCAUAACGUCGCAAGACCAAAGAGGGGGACCUUAGGGCCUCUUGCCAUCGGAUGUGCCCAGAUGGGAUUAGCUAGUAGGUGGGGUAACGGCUCACCUAGGCGACGAUCCCUAGCUGGUCUGAGAGGAUGACCAGCCACACUGGAACUGAGACACGGUCCAG
rnacentral:rRNA from 1 species